UGAAGUCAUAUGAUAUCAUGAAUGCAAAAACAUAUUUCAUGUUGUUGGCCAACGAAUUAAAUCUGUGAGAUAAAACGUUAUACACAUUCGUGGCAUGGAGCCGAAUAAGGUCAUAUAAAUCAUUUGAGCAUAUAUUCUUGGGGUACAGUUC